rnacentral:lncRNA from 1 species
CUCGUUCAUCUCCAAAUCUCCUCACUCUCCCGCCGCCUCAGUCACUCUCUCUCACUCCCUCGCCCAGCCGCCGCCCGCCGCCCCACCAGUUCGCCCGCCCGCUGCCGGCGAAGGCGAGGACAGCAGCAGCUGCAGAAGACGCGGCACACCGCACACGCCCUUCCUCCUCCAGUUCGCUCGCCGCCCCUCUUUCCCUUCUCGGACCACUCCAGCUCCAGCUCGCCGGCCACCUUCUCGGAGCACUCCAAUUCGUCGGCGGUCGGCCUCACCCUGCCAGCCUCCCUCUCAGUUCGCCGGCGAAGGCGGAGUUACAGGUCGGCGACUCCCUCUUUCACACUCUCUCUUUUACUCUCUGCCCAACUCUCUUUCACACUCUCUCUUUUAUAGCUCUCUCGACGCACGCACGCACCGGUCGCCGCUGCGCCGCACCAUUUUGAUUUUGUUAGAUAAAUUGUUGAUUUCAGCCAUUUUUGAGAGAUUGAGUUUGUUAGAUUCAGUCAUUUCAGCCAUUAAAUUUGUUGAUUUGGGCCAUUGAUUUGGCAGCCAUUUUGUUAGAUUAGAUUAUGGUUUUUGAUUGAGUUUGUUAGAUUCAGCCAUUUCAGAUUGGAUUUAUCGAAAUUUUAUGGUUUUGAAUUGAAUUUGGCUAGCCAUUUUGAUUUAUCAUGUUGACAGAUUGGUUUUGGCUAGCCAUGUAUUUAUCAUGUUGACAAAUUGAUUUUUGAUUUGGCAGCCAUUUUGGCAUAUUGGAUUAUGGGAAUUUAAAAACAGCAGAUCCAUGGAUCUGGAACCGCGGAUC